GGGGUGGUGGCGCAGUUGGCUAGUGCGCAGGUCUCAUAGCUAUCUAACAGCGAGCGAUCCUGAGCUCGAGAGUUCGAACCUCUCUCACCCCA
rnacentral:tRNA from 1 species